AGGCUAUUCUGUUAACAAACGGAGCUGGCACUGACACACGAGAAGCCCAACGAUGGCUGCCAAGUGUGGCCCACAUGGGGCAGGGGCAGGCGGGUGGGGCAGGGCACUCAGCCCCUUGCCUCCGGCCUCUGUGCCUAGCAAGGGCUGGGCUUAGGCAAAGCCUGUGGAGUGGACAUGAGCCUCCUGCAGCCCAGCCCUUCCCCGACAGAAGUCCUGGAGCCGAGCUGCCUGAUGCCCUCUACCUGCUACCUGGGCUCCUCACACACACCGUCAGCCACAUGUCACAGCUCAGACCAACUGACAGCACCUCAGCGCAACUGCUGGUCCCGCCUCGUCACCCCCCAGGUCCACACGCUGGAGACAAGCUACGUGGCCUGGGCAGGGGCAUGUGGUCCUGGGCUGCCCUGACUCCUCUCACGUCCCUGGGUCUCCAGGAGCUGAUGAAGGUGGAGAAGAAGCACUUUUAAAUUACUAAAGUGCCUGAGCCACAGAAGGAGGGAAGAAGCAAGCAUCACCGCAUCUUUAGCCUCCGGCAAUAAAAUAGAAAGAGUUUGCAAAAGGCGAUUCGAGUAUGGGCUGUGCUCACCAUGAUCCGUUUACCUAAAACCUGGCCCAGGUGACAGCAAGACAGGGAAGAACUCAGAUGCGGGCACAAUUGCUGCUUCUAAGGGCUCUCUAAAAGAAAUUCCUUGAAAACUGCUUUAGGUGACAGGCAGGUACCCGGCACUUCUAGGCACCGGCUCUUGCCUUUUCUAUUUCUAGGAGAAACUCUGAAAGGUGUGAUUGACAUCUCUCAGAUGAGCUGCAGUGCCAGGUCACACUGGGAUAGGAGUUCAGCCACGCUCACUGCCAUCGAGGCCUCUCCAGAAGAAGACGGGGCAGGACCAGGGCUGGUGGGCGCUGCCUGGGGAUCGUGGGGGGAAGACAAACCUCCUUAAUAGAUGGGAGACAAUGAAUCCAGGCCACUGAUUGAAGGGAAACGGAUUCUACCAAGCAGAGUGGCAGACAUAUUGGCAGCUUAAUGUUCCAUUUAAUUGGCAUGUAAAGUGAAGUGACAGGGAGCAUGCAAAUGAGGACGUGACUGUGGCUUUGAAGGUGCUACUGGCAGCUUUUGUUUUGAAAGUGCCGUUUGGACAAACUGAACAGUGUUAUUUCUGGGAUGAUUGGUUAGUCAAGAAAUUGUGCCAUUGUGCUGACCUCCAGGUCCCUGACAUCUUCCAUGUAUGACUGUGCGUCGUCCUGGGGACGCAGGUGUGGAAGACAUAGUCCCUGCUCUUAAGGAACUCAUUUUAGUGGGGAGAGGGGGAGUAAGAUAUGGAAAAAGCAAGUUGCUACUUAAAUGUUCAAAACACCAUCUGUGGAAAAACAAAAAAAAUGUAAAACUGUAGUUGCAGGAAUUCCAAAUAUUAUCUUUUCACAUUCUGAAUCCUCAUGGGUGACAAUGAUACACCAAAAUCAUAAUAAAUUGAUAAUAAAAGUAACAAUUACAAUAGAUAAA